UUCUUGUCUGACUGUCUUAUUUCAGAAAGGCAGCCAUCAAGCUCUGAGAUUCUUUCCUCCACUUGGUCUAUUCUGCUACUAAUACUUGAGCUCAGCCCAGUUCAGAACUCCUGUUGGAGAGAUGAUUCAGCUGUUUGCAGGAAAAAAGGCCCUCUGACUUUGACCCCAAGAUGAGACCAUCUAGUUGCAGGAAAGCAAGCUCAGGGAUCCCACAGAUUCUGCACUAUGGAGUGGACCAGCCUUUCAACCCCCACCAUCAUCAGUCAUUGCCUCAGAGCAGUCCACAGGAAACAUAACCUUGACCCAAAUAAGGAUUGUGAAGGAAGAGAGAAAUGUGGAAGAGAAGAGGAAGCAGAAGAAAAGAAAAGGAAUCAAGAUCUUACACUACCUGAAAAGCCUAAAAUAUUUACCUUUAUACAAAUCUUUCCCUUUGUAGAAAAAUUUUGACAAUCCCUGCUCUAGAGAGAGGAAGAAAACUCCAAGGAUUUACCAGGUUUCUGAAGGUAAACUACUGAGGAACAAAACCACUAAUAAAAUUCCUGCAAGAAUAAUGUAUUUUUUGAGUUUAUCACAUGGAGUUUUUUUCUUAACCAAAGGAUAAUUGAGCCCACAAAUAAAGACAAAAUAUCCACUAAAAAUAUAUCACGUAGAAACCAUUUUGAAAAUUAUGAAAAGAGUAUUUAACUAGCCUAAAUGUAGGUAGAACUAUAUGUCUGAUAAAAAAUAAAAAGCACACACUUAAAGCACACAACUUGCUAAGUUGUUGAAAUUCUCAACACAAUCAAGAUUACUCGAGUAUAAAGAAGAGGAUGAAGGCUUAAGCAGGAAACUUUGACAGCUCCAAAGACCUUAAUCCUUAUAAAGAAGUAAUGAAGUUUCAACUUUGCACUCAGGUUUUCAAGAAACCUUUGCAACUUUAACAUAGCAUUUUGAGGAGUAAAAGUGACACCUGGAAAAAGCCAUCCUUGAGAACUAACUCCCCACAAACUGAUCAGAUGUCACAACUGUGAUUUUUCUUCAGAGAGAGCAAAACUAUGGGUUAAGAUGUGUUUGGAAGGCAGAAAUCUGACCAAGAGUCUGUCAUGAGGAGCAGACAUACAGAAGAAUGAUUCACAAGAAGACCUCCUUUCUGUGCAUUGAACAUCUAUCCACAGAGCACAUCUUCAUUACUAGGGGAGAGCAUCCAUCAGCUGACAUGGUGGUGGCAGCAUGGUCACAACUGAGGUGCGGCUUCAGAAAGGAGAGCUUUUCAAUAGUUAGAUUAUUACAGGGCCCAACUAAAUGCCUCAAAUUCCCAGGAAUGUAGAUAAUAACAAUUAUGCCUCUUUCUCUCUUUUCCUCACAGACAAAAAGGUAACUUAUGUUGCAUAAUUAUAAAAAAUUCCAAAAUAAAAAUUUGAAAUAUACAGGACACUUCAAAUAAUACAUCUACAUGUUUUGAAUCAUCUUCCUAAAGCCCAAAUAUUGUUGUUGUGUACCCAGGCACAGUAGGGAGCUGAUCAUUACAAAUGACAGCAACAACAUUUUAAAAUUAUAAAUCUUAAGAAUAUUUAAAUAAAUGUAUAGCAACUAAUAAAAUUGAAAGCAAAAUGUAUACUAACUUAAUUUAUAUUUUAUUAGCAGAUAUUUGUCUUUUAAAACUGUUUAUUAGUAAAUUUAAAUUAUGUAAAAUUUUGCAUGUAUAUCUUAGGAUGGCAGAUAUAUCUUGAGGUCAUAUUAUUCCCCUUAUUUGCAGGUAGAGUCAAAUAUCCAUUUUUUUGUUGGCUUCUCAUCCUACUGACUUUGUAUUAACUUGACUUGUAUUCAUUAUUUAAAUUAAAAAUGAAAUGGAAAUUCCAUAAUGGGAAUUACCUCCCAUUGUUAGAUUUAAGUUUCAGUCAACAGAAUCUCUCAUUUUCAUCAAGAAAUUUUUUAAACGCGUGGGCACAAUAUUCCUAUUCUUUCUUUUAAAAACUCAACUCCUGCACUUCAGCUUAAGCAACAGAGUUAAGACCCUGUCUUAAAAAACAAAACAAAACAAAAUAAAACUCUACUCCAUCAUAAUUUUGUGAGUGAAUCUACAUCAGCUUAUAGCUUCAGAACAUAUAAUGUUUCUACCAUCAAGAUUAGCUAGACUGAAUUUGGCCAAUUCAGUGCAGCAUUCUCUGCUGAGUUUAAUUCAAUUAUGGAUAAGAAUUCAGUCAUAGUCUUGGAAAAAAUGACAAGAAAAUCUUCUGAUUUUGUAGGAUAAAAACAUGCUUUUGAAAAAUACAAACUAUAUUUUCUACCUCCUUCCUUUAUAGUUAACUCAGGCUCUACUUAAGUCCAUUAUGUUUUAUUUUUUGCCUGAUUAUUAUACUAACAAUUUUUUCUUUCAAAUAUUGCCCACAGAAUUAUUUCUGAAUUUAUUUCGAUGCUGAUAUGCCACAAAGAAGGAAUCACACUGAUUGUGCUGCAAAGUAAAAUAAAAAAGUGAGCAUAAAUGACCCUUUAUUGAGCUUUUAAUAUAGCCUAGUGCCCUUGCUCUGCUACACGUUUCUCUCCAAGCCAUGUGAGGAGUCCACUCUAUGUAAGAACACAUGGAGGUGAAUUAUAUGAAAUCAGGAGUUUAGACUAAGCAAGAGACAAAAUCAUGAGAAAUGGUUAAUUGCUCUUCUUUCUAAGUAAACAAAAAACAAUAAAUGUCAUCAAGGCUAUCUCUCUUUCCUUAAAGUUAUAUUUGUUAUUAGCAUACUUCUGAUAUAAACUGGUUUUCCUUUCAGAGAAGCGUAAUCAUUGGAGGAAAUGUUUGUCUUUGGGAAAAAAAAGAAAAAAACGGGAAGUUGUACUUCAGGAAAAAAUUAGUCCUCAGAAAAAGGGAACAAUAUGUCUGCAUUUUUGGCUAUUGUUUCAGCUUAUGUACAUGUUUCUGCUUACCUUCUUGAAAGAGAAACAAGUUAUUCAAUGUUACGUAUGAAUCAAAGAUCAGAUUACUCAGAAUCCUGAAAAAUAAAUUGUGACUGUACUCAUCUGAGAAAGAACACUGGAAUUCAACAGAGAAGCAACAGGAGACACCAAGAAUGAGGAAAGGGGGUGCACGGCUGCCUGUUCAGCAGGAUU
rnacentral:lncRNA from 10 species